rnacentral:rRNA from 1 species
CCUACGGGUGGCAGCAGGAGGGAAUAUUGGUCAAUGGGCGUAAGCCUGAACCAGCCAAGUCGCGUGAGGGAUGAAGGUUCUAUGGAUCGUAAACCUCUUUUAUAAGGGAAUAAAGUGUGGGACGUGUCCUGUUUUGUAUGUACCUUAUGAAUAAGGAUCGGCUAACUCCGUGCCAGCAGCCGCGGUAAUACGGAGGAUCCGAGCGUUAUCCGGAUUUAUUGGGUUUAAAGGGUGCGUAGGCGGCCUUUUAAGUCAGCGGUGAAAGUCUGUGGCUCAACCAUAGAAUUGCCGUUGAAACUGGGAGGCUUGAGUAUGUUUGAGGCAGGCGGAAUGCGUGGUGUAGCGGUGAAAUGCUUAGAUAUCACGCAGAACCCCGAUUGCGAAGGCAGCCUGCCAAGCCAUGACUGACGCUGAUGCACGAAAGCGUGGGGAUCAAACAGGAUUAGAUACCCCGGUAGUC